AGGGUGCACGGUGAAAACCUAGCCACCAAUCCCUCGCAUCCCUGAACAACCAAUCCGUCCGCUCCCCUCUUCCCCUGCCCUCCUCUGCGACGCCGCCUCCUCCCCUUCCCUCCUCUGCGUCGCCUCCUCCUCCCCUUCUCCCCUGCUCUCCACUGCACCGCCUCCUCCUCCCCUUCACUUUUCUCUCCCGGGGCGGCAACAACCUACAGGCAAAAGGCGACGGCGAUGUCGCUCAAUUUGAUCUGCAGGAGAGAGAGAAGGAAGGAGAGGAGGGAGAAAGGAAGAGGAAAGAGAAAAGGGAGGUGCGGCGACGGAUGGGUGAGGGUCACCGGAAGGAGCGCCGCCGGCUCGUCGCCUUUCACACCGAGGUGGAGCAAAUAUGUCUCUGUACAGCCCUCAUGCUCGCAGCUGUCGGCUGCAGGGGCCUUGCGAGAAGUGGAAGGUAGAGGUCGUACGCCAGCCGGAGCAACAGGAGCAAGGAUCUGGCGUCAUCUGCCUCCCGGUUGCACAACACCACUGCAUCUCCUUCCUGUUGUUGUUGGCGGCAUCCGCCUCUCAGUUGCAUGCUGCCACUGCAUCUCCUUCCUGUUUUAUUUUUAGAUUUUACAUGUUCAGCUAUAGGUUGGCUUGAUCUCUUGUGUCAGGGAGGUGCGAGGUUAGGCAUUUAGGCAAUGGCAGCCACAGUUUCAGUGAAGGAUGUCCAUGCCAUGUGCAAUGAGGGAUAGGCCAUCAGCACAACCGUAUGCGUGUUUUAGUUUUCCUUAUUUUCCUAAUUUUAGUUCUCUACGGUCUUCUAUUUUUAUUUUUAUUGUUCUUAUUUUGUAUAGGUCCUUUGGGUCCUGAUGAAAGUCACUGUCGGUGGCAGGGAAUUCGUUGCCGGAUGCGUCCUAUAUGUGAUGGGUGUGUUCCCAUCCAGUCGUUGGUGGGCUUGAUGUGCCCGUCGAUUCGACGAUCCGCGGGCCGAGCUCAGCUUCUCAGUGGCGGACUGAUGUUCUAUGGUAGUGGCAGUCAUUGUAUGUGGUGGUGCGGUUGCUGAUGUACAGGAGGCGUCCAUGGUGUCAGUUCUCCAUCGUCCAUGCUUAUCUUCUGUAUGCUCUAGCAGCCAGGUGGCUCAAGAAAUAGAAGACGCUCAUGUUCAUGUACGCUUAGAUUUUGCAUGGAGCUGAAGAAAUGAUCUGAACUUUAUGUUCUGCUGCUGACAAAUGACGAAUGCCGAAUAUAUGUAUCCAGUUGGUCCCUCAUCGCCGGGAGGACGGGCGAGGAGGUCGAGGCCCACUGGGGUUCACGAGGAGGCGCACGGGCGGCAAUCACUACAACCAUCAUGUGCUACUGCAGGCUUUCCUAGCCUCGUCACAUGAUCAACACGGCGAGCAUCGGCAAAGGGCAGUGCCAAACCAAGUACGCGAGGAGCGCCCGGGCCGUCCUUCACCCUCCAACAAUGGCGACAACGACUGUGCGUCAUGGGACGAACAUGGAGCUCACCCUCUCUACGCCGUGCAUCACAUCUACUUAAUUUGGAGGGUUACACCGGGUGUUUAUAUACUUCGGUCGAUGGUUUCCGUGCCUUGAGGAACAAUCCUAUUAUUGUACUAUGCGUACUGACUAUAUAUGUAUGACGCAUAAAUCCUCACAAGUUGGAACCCAUCACUGCUCAUGCUCGACCGUGACUCCACGCGCAAGGUCCGCCUAGCCACGCGUAGGUCACGCCGCCGGCUGUCGAGCCUCCUGUUCCACCCUGCAGUGUGUUCGAACAGCCGAAGCUGAGUAUGCGAAGAUUCAUCCCUGGCCCAUCCUUGUUCAACGCAUGGAAGCAAUGACUGCUGCUGGCUUUGAAGCUGGUUGAGGUUGCUGCUUGCCGUUGGUUGGAGCCUUGUAGGUAGAGGCCUUGCGGUGGUCCAAGAUUCUUACAUAGUGUUGUGCCUGGUUUCUUCUUGAAGGAUUUGCUGCGAAAGCUGGGAAUGUUAAGAGGAAUCUGCUUUGAGAGGUGUCGUAGUCUGAGAGGAAACGAUUUCUUCUAGGCCAGUGGUGUUCCUUUGCGCUAUAGCCAGUGCGCUAUCUCCUAGAACCUAUCAUGGAGGAGGUUGACAUCACAGACAAGUUCAUGCUUGAGGUCAUUUUCAUUAAGCUGCAGCUCGCGCAACCACUAUUUUUACUACUGCAAAGUUGGACAGAGUUUUGCAGUAACAAUCAAGUUCCGUCCCAGCACGCGGCAUCAGCAACAUGAUGCUGAAGCAAUGGCAUUAUCCGGAUAUUCAUCUAAUUCCAUAGAAGUUGCAACGGAUGUUGCAGCGGCUCGAGUUAUCAGAUACAUGGAGGCUGUGUGUGCCAAGGUGCUCAAGGACUAUAGUUACAACAAAUUGAAACAAACAAAGGAAAGAGAAUUGCAUCUAAUUGGUUUGUUAAUAGACAAAGAAAAGUAGAUCAAAGAGCAGAAUUGGAAGAUCAGAGAGCUUAGCAAAGGCUUUGCAGACAAUAUGUAUCAAGUUAAAACACUUUUGCUGGGAUUCAUCACAUAGCUAAAGACGGUGUAUACUCAACCAGUUCUACAAACGGCAAUGGCACCACAAGGCUGCUGUAGAUGUGCAGAAUGAACUUGCUCAUCUGCAGUAUGCAGUUGAUUGACUAAUGACUAUCCAGCUGAUUCGAAACACAUUGGUUUAUCCCUUUUAAAUAGAGUCUACUUCCAUAGCCUAUGUACCUUUGGAAGAUGCUUACCGGCUAUAACAACUUUAUUUAAAUGACCAGCGAUACCGCCUGCAUCUUACCGUGCUAACUAAUUAGCCUGUGAAGUUUUGUGUAUAGGUUCACCCAAAGAACAUGUUUACUUUUGGCAGUACUCUCUGGUCAUCAUGUUUACUCUACUAAGCUACCUAAAUAGCCUAUGAAGCUUUGUGUGUAUAGCUUCACCCUAAGAACCCGUUUGCUUUUGGCACUACUCUCUGGUCAUAUAUAAAUUUUGAAUGCAUGAUACUAUGUUGUAUCCAUGUGAUA